rnacentral:rRNA from 1 species
GACGAACGCUGGCGGCGUGCUUAACACAUGCAAGUCGAACGGAAAGGCCCUGCUUUUGUGGGGUGCUCGAGUGGCGAACGGGUGAGUAACACGUGAGUAACCUGCCCUUGACUUUGGGAUAACUUCAGGAAACUGGGGCUAAUACCGGAUAGGAGCUCCUGCUGCAUGGUGGGGGUUGGAAAGUUUCGGCGGUUGGGGAUGGACUCGCGGCUUAUCAGCUUGUUGGUGGGGUAGUGGCUUACCAAGGCUUUGACGGGUAGCCGGCCUGAGAGGGUCACCGGCCACAUUGGGCCUGAGGUACGGCCCAGACGCCUACGGGAGGCAGCAGUGGGGAAUAUUGCACAAUGGGCGGAAGCCUGAUGCAGCAACGCCGCGUGCGGGAUGACGGCCUUCGGGUUGUAAACCGCUUUCGCCUGUGACGAAGCGUGAGUGACGGUAAUGGGUAAAGAAGCACCGGCUAACUACGUG